rnacentral:lncRNA from 1 species
CAGAACUCUGCAUUUUGAAGCAGCUUUGGAAGUUGAGGCUUGAACUUGGCCUUUAAGAACAACUUCAGGCACGUCUCAGGCAAGCCUCCCUCUCAUGGAAGUUCCCAGGAAGCCCACCAUGUACGUGUCUGUACGUGUCUGUAGAAGAGGAGGAAGCUUUUCUUCCAGGAGCCGGCUGAUUACACAAAGAACAAAGGUAUUUCUAUGUUUGUAUUUGCUCCCUUAUCUGUGCAGCUGCAGCUUGAUUUUUCAGGCUGUUUCUAUGUUUAAAAGAAUUCUACCAAAAG